CGUUAAUCUGGUUUAUCUAGCGUCCGCCUAUCGGUCAUCUCAGCAAACUACGUGGGCAGCGAAAAGACGAUAAUCAGACCAACUAGAUAGGUUGGUGUUCUCUCUAAUGUGAAUUCAGCAAAUGCAGAUAUGCGUCGAACAGACUCCAUGUACGUGUUACAAGACUGAAGGGCCCAAAUCCUUUCUUCGAAUUGACACAUGUGGAGAAAAAGCAUGCACUUCCCUUGAGCAGGGCGAAGACAAGAAUCGGACCAACUAGAUAGAUAUGCUUUCAACGGAUCCCAUGUAUGUGUGUUGCUCGAUCGAAAGGCUGAAAACCUGUGCCCAUAAAUGCUGCUCAUGGACAGUGGGUUUAGGGAAGUGUUGAGGCGAGCGGCGUCUAUACAGCGGCCGGAUGCUGGAUGCGCAUUUAGCGGAGAUGUCGAUGCAAUGGCACCGGAAGAGGGAUUCAUAUCCGGUGGCAGCUAUAGGCUGCGACAGGGUAGUCCGGCAUGGGCUCGCGGAAGACUGGAAAUUUGGAAAAGGAUGGGCGAGGAGGACAUAGAGAGGCAAACCGGACACAGCGAGGGGCAGAUACAUGGCACGUCUACACGUUUUUUAGAAGUGGCUUCUACAGUUUUUGUUGUUGGACUACAAACAACAGAACAUAUACGGUUUGCAUGUCUCCAUAUCUAUGACUUUAGCCACAAACAGCAUUCUAGAUGGCAUCUACAGUUUUUUUAUUGAACAGAU